rnacentral:rRNA from 1 species
UACGUAGGGGCAAGCGUUGUCCGGAAUCAUUGGGCGUAAAGCGCGUGUAGGCGGCUGAGUAAGUCUGCUCUGAAAGCCCGGGCUCAACCCCGGGAGGCGGGUGGAUACUGCUCAGCUCGAGUCCGGAAGAGGAGUGUGGAAUUCCUGGUGUAGCGGUGAAAUGCGCAGAUAUCAGGAGGAACACCAAUGGCGAAGGCAGCACUCUGGGACGGUACUGACGCUGAGACGCGAAAGCGUGG